rnacentral:rRNA from 1 species
UGGGGAAUUUUGGACAAUGGGGGCAACCCUGAUCCAGCCAUCCCGCGUGUGCGAUGAAGGCCUUCGGGUUGUAAAGCACUUUUGGCAGGGAAGAAACAGCCUGGGCUAAUAUCCCGGGCGACUGACGGUACCUGCAGAAUAAGCACCGGCUAACUACGUGCCAGCAGCCGCGGUAAUACGUAGGGUGCAAGCGUUAAUCGGAAUUACUGGGCGUAAAGCGUGCGCAGGCGGUUCGGAAAGAAAGGUGUGAAACCCCAGGGCUUAACCUUGGAACUGGACUUUUAACUACCUGGCUAGAGUACGUCAGAGGGGGGUAGAAUUCCACGUGUAGCAGUGAAAUGCGUAGAGAUGUGGAGGAAUACCGAUGGCGAAGGCAGCCCCCUGGGAUGAUACUGACGCUCAUGCACGAAAGCGUGGGGAGCA